UAUAUCACCAACACCAUUGGACCCAUGUUGAUGGGCCAGGCAUUCCUGCCCUUGCUGAAGAAGGCUGCCCAGGAGAGC